rnacentral:rRNA from 1 species
CCUACGGGGGGCAGCAGUGGGGAAUAUUGCACAAUGGGGGAAACCCUGAUGCAGCGACGCCGCGUGAGUGAAGAAGUAUUUCGGUACGUAAAGCUCUAUCAGCAGGGAAGAAAAUGACGGUACCUGACUAAGAAGCCCCGGCGAACCACGUGCCAGAAGCCGCGGGAAUACGGAGGGGGCAAGCGUUAUCCGGAUUUACUGGGUUGAAAGGGAGCGUAGACGGCAGCGGAAGUCUGAAGUGAAAUCCCAUGGCUUACACAUGGAACUAAUUUGGAAAAUGUGCAGCUGGAGUGCAGGAGAUGUAAGCGGAAUUCCUAGUGUAGCGGUGAAAUGCGUAGAUAUUAGGAGGAACACCAGUGUAGAAGGCGGCUUACUGGACUGUAACUGACGUUGAGGCUCGAAAGCGUGGGGAGCAAACAGGAUUAGAGACCCUUGUAGUC